UGGCUCAGGAUUAACGCUGGCGGCAUGCCUAAUACAUGCAAGUCGAACGAAAUAUAUUCGUAUAUUUAGUGGCGAACGGGUGAGUAAUGCAUAUUUUAUCUACCUAAAUGUGAGGAAUAACAGCUAGAAAUAGUUGCUAAUACCUCAUAGGAUAUUUAUAUUUAAAGGUUCUUUUGAAUCGCGUUUAGAUGAGAAUAUGUCGUAUUAGCUUGUUGGUGGGGUAAAGGCCUACCAAGGCAAUGAUACGUAGCCGAUCUGAGAGGAUGGACGGCCACAUCGGGACUGAGAUACGGCCCGGACUCCUACGGGAGGCAGCAGUAAGGAAUUUUUCACAAUGGACGAAAGUCUGAUGAAGCAAUGCCGCGUGAUUGAUGACAGCCUUAGGGUUGUAAAAAUCUGUUGAGAGGAAAGAAAAGUAAGCAAAAGAGAAAGUUGUUUAUUUGACGGUACCUCUUUAGAAAGACACGGCAAACUAUGUGCCAGCAGCCGCGGUAAUACAUAGGUGUCAAGCGUUAUUCGGAUUUAUUGGGCGUAAAGGGUGCGUAGACGGUUUAAAAAGUUUGAAGUUAAAAAUUAAAGCUCAACUUUAUUAUGCUUCAAAAACUCUUAAACUAGAGAUUGAUAGAGGUUAAUGGAACUUUAUGUGUAGUGGUAAAAUACGUAGAUAUAUAAAGGAACACCGGGGGCGAAAGCGAUUAACCAGGUCAUUUCUGACGUUGAGGCACGAAGGCGUGGGGAGCAAAUAGGAUUAGAUACCCUAGUAGUCCACGCCGUAAACGAUGAGUACUAAGUGUCAAUUUUUUAUUGGUGCUACAGCUAACGCGUUAAGUACUCCGCCUGAGUAGUACGCUUGCAAGAGUAAAACUCAAAGGAAUUGACGGGGACCCGCACAAGCAGUGGAGCAUGUGGUUUAAUUCGAAGCAACGCGAAGAACCUUACCAAGACUUGACAUCCAGUGCAAAGCUAUAGAAAUAUAGUCGAGGUUAACAUUGAGACAGGUGGUGCAUGGUUGUCGUCAGCUCGUGCCGUGAGGUGUUAGGUUAAGUCCUGUAACGAGCGCAACCCUUGUUGUUAUUUGCUAAUAUUAAGUUAAGUACUUUAACAAGACUGCUAAUGUAAAUUAGAGGAAGGUGAGGAUGACGUCAAAUCAUCAUGCCCCUUAUGUCUUGGGCUACACACGUGCUACAAUGGCUAAUACAAAGAGUUGCGAACUUGUGAAAGUAAGCUAAUCUCAAAAAGUUAGUCUCAGUUCGGAUUGAAGGCUGCAACCCGCCUUCAUGAAGCCGGAAUUGCUAGUAAUCGCAAAUCAGCCAUGUUGCGGUGAAUACGUUCUCGGGUCUUGUACACACCGCCCGUCACACCAUGAAAGUUAAUCGUGCCAGAAGUUAGUGCAUCAACUUGCAAAAGAGAAAGCUACCUAAGGUAAAAUU
rnacentral:rRNA from 1 species